GAUGAACGCUGGCGGCGUGCUUAACACAUGCAAGUCGAACGAUUGAAGCUGGAGCUUGCUCCGGCCGAUUUAGUGGCGGACGGGUGAGUAACGCGUGGGUAACCUGCCUCAUACAGGGGGAUAGCAGUUGGAAACGACUGGUAAAACCGCAUAAGCGCACGGUGUCGCAUGACACAGUGUGAAAACACUCCGGUGGUAUGAGAUGGACCCGCGUCUGAUUAGCUAGUUGGUGAGGUAACGGCCCACCAAGGCGACGAUCAGUAGCCGGCCUGAGAGGGUGAACGGCCACAUUGGGACUGAGACACGGGCCCAAACUCCUACGGGAGGCAGCAGUGGGGAAUAUUGCACAAUGGGGGAAACCCUGAUGCAGCGACGCCGCGUGAGUGAUGAAGUAUUUCGGUAUGUAAAACUCUAUCAGCAGGGAGAUAAUGAGGUACCUGACUUAGAA
rnacentral:rRNA from 1 species